rnacentral:rRNA from 1 species
UGAUGCAGCCGACGCCGCGUGAGGGAUGACGGCCUUCGGGUUGUAAACCUCUUUCAGUAGGGAAGAAGCGAAAGUGACGGUACCUGCAGAAGAAGCGCCGGCUAACUACGUGCCAGCAGCCGCGGUAAUACGUAGGGCGCAAGCGUUAUCCGGAAUUAUUGGGCGUAAAGAGCUCGUAGGCGGUUUGUCGCGUCUGCCGUGAAAGUCCGGGGCUCAACUCCGGAUCUGCGGUGGGUACGGGCAGACUAGAGUGAUGUAGGGGAGACUGGAAUUCCUGGUGUAGCGGUGAAAUGCGCAGAUAUCAGGAGGAACACCGAUGGCGAAGGCAGGUCUCUGGGCAUUAACUGACGCUGAGGAGCGAAAGCAUGGGGAGCGAACAGGAUUAGAUACCCUGGUAGUCCAUGCCGUAAACGUUGGGCACUAGGUGUGGGGGACAUUCCACGUUUUCCGCGCCGUAGCUAACGCAUUAAGUGCCCCGCCUGGGGAGUACGGCCGCAAGGGUAAAACUU